GGGUCCGUUAUCUCAUCAUCUCUUAAUAAAUCAUAUAUAUUGAUAGCCACCUGCUUCGUACACAUUUCAAACUAAUAUUUCAGACACCAAAUGCAAAGCCUAUCCCAAGGCAAUGCCCCAUUUGCGUGGUAAAAGGCAACACGACUGUGUACCUCCGGGUAACAGACCACGUUCGCUGGGUGCAAGCGCUGACGGCAGACCCCAUGAAGCCGUUGAUGUCAGAGGCACGUGCUAAGACCGGUCGGAAAGUGAAGAAGACAAAGACGAGGAAUUACUACUCUUGCUGGCUGUGCGACCGGUCGGUGAUUAACCGGCUGCGUCAUCUAGAACAGGAGCACAACAUGGAGGCUGGGACAUUCAAUUUUGUUUACACAAGAAGGCCGUUUCCGGAAAGUCGCGAAAACUUCAGGAAAGGUGACCAGCAGACUCGCCACUCAUGAUGACUCGGCAUAGGAGGAUGAGAAGGUGGAGGAUGAGGAGGAGGAGGAAGAGGACUUUUCAUUCCUAACGCGGAAAUACUGCCUGAGCCUGGAACCCAAUGCAAGGGUGAUGCAUGGUCGGAGAAGCUGCAAUUUCAAUAGUUGACUCAUAUGUAGACUACAUGUUCCUGCGGAGCAGGCCAGGUGGGUUGGCAAACGAGUCGAAAACACAAGAGGUCAACAUGAAGAUCAACCGGUUCCUGGCCCUGUCUGGCUACUUAGAAGGAGUGGUGUUGAGUGACGUGCUGUUGUGGAUGGGCCAUAUGGAGGUCCACGACAGUUCCUCAACACCACUCACCAGCUGAAGACGGUGCGGAAUGCACUAACGGCAAUCAAGAACUUCCUGAAGUGGUGCCAGGGAAUGGUCUAGCGGACGCCCGCACAUUGAACAAUGCUUCCUGACCUCAACCUGCCUGGAUAAGAGCCGUCGCGAGGUUGUUCGGAGGGUAGAGGAGAGUGCGGCCAUCCUGACGGACGCAAACCUGGAGUGCCACUUCACUGAAAGUGAGCAUGUAGUGAAAACGAUCAAGCUGUUCCAGGAGACCCCGCUGACACACCUGAAAGAUAUUCGGGGAAUAAUCAUUAAACUGAUAGCGCUCUAUAACGCCUCCUGAACCGGCAAGUGUACCUAGAGAUUGAGCUGGAGACAGUGAAGGUGCUGACCUCUGUGUGGAACACUUAGAAGCUGGCAAGUUUUCAUAUUGAAGGGUAUGGUUCCCAACUGCCCAUCACACACAGAAUGUAGCUUGUCGUCUUCCGCAGUAAAAAAUGGGUGCUGGAAGAUGCUUACUGCUAUAUUGACUGCUUCCAAGCGCUUCCUGGACCUAAAAAUUAUCUCCCAGCAGCAACCUCCCCAAGGUGUGACGAGAGUCUUCAAGUGUUCCAGACGGCUGGUGAUGCAUUUCAAGAAAAGCCAUCAGAAUCUUGCAAUGAUCUGUAUACUUAAUAAAUGACAAAACAACAA